CCUACGGGAGGCAGCAGUGAGGAAUAUUGGUCAAUGGGCGUAAGCCUGAACCAGCCAAGUCGCGUGAGGGAUGAAGGUUCUAUGGAUCGUAAACCUCUUUUGUAAGGGAGUAAAGUGCGGGACGUGUCCCGUUUUGUAUGUACCUUAUGGAUAAGGAUCGGCUAACUCCGGGCCCGCAGCCGCGGUUAUACGGGGGAUUCGGACGGUAUCCGGAUUUUUUUGGUUUAAAGGGUGGGUAGGCGGCCUUUUAAGUCAGCGGGGAAAGUCUGUGGCUCAAACAUAGGAGUGCCGUUGAAACUGGUAGGCUUGAGUGUGUUUGAGGCAGGCGGAAUGCGUGGUGUAGCGGUGAAAUGCUUAGAUAUCACGCAGAACCCCGAUUGCGAAGGCAGCCUGCCAAGCCAUGACUGACGCUGAUGCACGAAAGCGUGGGGAUCAAACAGGAUUAGAUACCCCAGUAGUC
rnacentral:rRNA from 1 species